rnacentral:rRNA from 1 species
GAUGAACGCUGGCGGCGUGCCUAAUACAUGCAAGUCGAGCGAACAGACGAGGAGCUUGCUCCUCUGACGUUAGCGGCGGACGGGUGAGUAACACGUGGAUAACCUACCUAUAAGACUGGGAUAACUUCGGGAAACCGGAGCUAAUACCGGAUAAUAUAUUGAACCGCAUGGUUCAAUAGUGAAAGACGGUUUUGCUGUCACUUCUAGAUGGAUCCGCGCCGCAUUAGCUAGUUGGUAAGGUAACGGCUUACCAAGGCAACGAUGCGUAGCCGACCUGAGAGGGUGAUCGGCCACACUGGAACUGAGACACGGGCCAGACUCCUACGGGAGGCAGCAGUAGGGAAGCUGCCGCAAUGGGCGAAAGCCUGACGGAGCAACGCCGCGUGAGUGAAGAAGGUCUGCGGAUCGUAAAACUCUGUUAUUAGGGAAGAACAAAUGUGUAAGUAACUAUGCACGUCUUGACGGUACCUAAUCAGAAAGCCACGGCUAACUACGU